AAAGUUAGUUUGCAGAGUAUAAGAGAGGAAUAUGAGAAGAAGCAAGCCGAGCAGCAAAAGGCAAAACUGGAGAAAGAAGCAAUUAUUGAAGCAAAGAAGGAAGAGCGAGCAAAGGCUGAAGCGAGGCGCAAGGCCUCAAGGGAGAAGAUGUUUAAGAAGACUCGGUCGGGCCAGCCUGUCAUGAAGUACAGAAUCGAGCAUCUCCUUGAAGGAUUACUGCAGGAAGCCGCAACUUAGUCGUUGAGAGGCAACGUCUUCACCUUUUUGUAUGAUAUCCUAGUGUUGCCACCGUGUUAAGUUAAUAUUUUGGGGUUACAAGGGAUGACAUGCCAAUCUAUGGUAGAAAAUUCAACAAUAACUUAUAUGUAUUGCACUAUUCUUGCG
rnacentral:misc_RNA from 1 species